rnacentral:rRNA from 1 species
UACGUAGGGGGCAAGCGUUAUCCGGAUUUACUGGGUGUAAAGGGCGUGUAGGCGGAGCUGCAAGUCAGAUGUGAAAUCUCUGGGCUCAACCCAGAAACUGCAUUUGAAACUGUAGCCCUUGAGUAUCGGAGAGGCAAGCGGAAUUCCUAGUGUAGCGGUGAAAUGCGUAGAUAUUAGGAGGAACACCAGUGGCGAAGGCGGCUUGCUGGACGACAACUGACGCUGAGGCGCGAAAGCGUGGGGAGCAA